AGAGGGCAACAAGAGCAGCAGCCAAGCCAUGUAGCUACCAUAGCCAGCCAGCUGCUCGUUUUGUGCAGGCUAGGACCCCCAUGCUUGGCUUGCUUUAUUCUGCUAUGUGGGAGUUCCUCUGUGAUGCCAAGCAGUUCACAUGAGAACGAUGAUCUCAGGGCUGAGAGCUGAGUGAGGGUAAACAUCUAUGACUGAUCCAGAACACCCAGUGAAUCAUCAGUUUGUCCUUAGGUUUCCUGGGUCACUGUGCACAUUACCGUGUUCCAUUGUCUGGGAGGUUCAUUCCAGAUCACUGCAAGUUAUUGGACUCCAGCCCAGAUUCCCAUACAGAGAAGAAGAAAAGAAGAAGAGUUUAAGUUCACCAUGUUAUUGAUCAACCGUGUUCUCCUGCCAGAACUAUUGACCAUGUUCCUCUUGUCUUCUUUUCAGAUAUCCAAGCACCUGUUCCAUUUACU